rnacentral:misc_RNA from 1 species
GAUGAAGAACGCAGCGAAACGCGAUAUUUCUUGUGAAUUGCAGAAGUGAAUCAUCAGUUUUUGAACGCACAUUGCACUUUGGGGUAUCCCCAAAGUAUACUUGUUUGAGCGUUGUUUCUCUCUUGGAAUUGCUUUGCUCUUCUAAAAUUUCGAAUCAAAUUCGUUUGAAAAACAACACUAUUCAACCUCAGAUCAAGUAGGAUUACCCGCUGAACUUAAGCAUAUCAAUAAGCGGAAGA